UGGCUGGUCGCCUGCGUCAUUUCGGCGUCACCGCGCUCGUGCAGAGUGACGUCAUAACCCGCGCGCGCGAACAGCAAUGCCUGCCAUGACCCGGCAAUGCCCGCACCGAUAAUUAAUAUUGACGGAAGAUUCCCCUCGCGGAGAUGUGGCUUUCUGUAACAUCCCUGUCCCUUCGCCGGCAUGACCCGGAUCAGGUUCAAAGGGUCACCGCGCAUCACGCGGUAUCUCAGCUCCACGCCGGAGCCCCCCUCGGAACAUCAAUACGAUAGACCCGAUGAUCCGGGGUUUCGAUGAUCCGGGGUUUCAAUGGCCGGAGCCCCGACGUGGCAUGGCUUUUCCGCAUCGUGGGAACGCGUUUCCGCAUUUCGCAUCGCAAAGAUUGGCGCACAAAGC
rnacentral:misc_RNA from 1 species